GCCUGGUUAGCUCAGUUGGUAGAGCAUGAGACUCCAUCUCUCAGGGUCGUGGGUUUGACUCUCACAGCGGGUG